GAUGAUUCACUUCAAAUAUAGGAUGGAAGGGAAAAUCUAACCAGAGAGAGAGAAAUUCUUCAAUCUGACCUAGUAAACGCCACUAGGUAAAGAGUGGAGAACACGUAAUGAUUGCGGAGAUGCUGUUAAUGAGGUCGUGGGCCUGGCGCAUAGAGGAUGCUCAAUCCGUGUCUGCUCCACACGCGCGGAACGGCGCCGGGUGGGAGGAGCGCAGCCUUCGCGGUUAGAGGGCCCGUCACUCAUGAGAAGCCAUCACUUCCUACCUUCUCUGUGCCUCAGCUUCUCGCCAGAGUCUAGGACACCUCAGGCACUCCAUCAUCGCUUGUUGAAUUCAUAGGACGUUACUUACCUCAUGGAACUUGUAGUCUCCUUGAAAAAUGAGACACAUGUGUCUGCAUCUAAAUAAGAUGUGAGACAAGCUGGGACCAAGGCCCGGUGCUAGUUCUACAGGAAAUCGAUGCUGUCAUACUUGAUCUUCCUCCUUGAAGCGACCUUAUGACGCUGGACAAACAGGACAAACAGCGGACGCCAAAACCACCCGUGUGGACCAACUGGGCUUGGGAAAUAUUCAUGGAGACCAGGGGAGGUUUUUUUCCUUAAAAGAAGCCAUCGGCUGGGGGAGUCAGGGUUCACCUGUGAGCUAAGACGGCACGUGGGCAGCCAGCCAUUCAUGCAUUUCGAUGGCAUCUGAGGGAGAGAUGCUGCUACUCACAGCAUAAUUCAAUGGAAGGCUCCUCCCCGGGAGGGGAGUGUCAGUGCCAGGAAUGACAUCAAAGUGUGGUGCUGUGGGAGUGUUGAAAGCCAGGGAGACACAACAUGGGACAGAUGCUGCUGGAGAAGGACACGUGAGCGGAGGUGCACGUGGGGCCACCGGCCUGUCUGCCUGCCAGACCAGAGAGGUACCCUCCUACUCACCUUGGAGGAUGAGGCCAGACUCUGAUCUCCCCACCCACCCUGGAAGAUGACGGAGGUUGGUACCACAGGAGAACAGCUCAGGCCCAUUACUGCGACCACCCAUCUAGGGCACCGUCUAGAAGUCGUUUUUGAUUAGAAGCUGACCUCAGAAGUACGCUCGCAUCAUUCUGAAAACAUCUGACAGCACCACAGAAACCGACGCAGAACGAGAAAGGACACAGUGGACGAAGGCCAGGACCAGGGCCUUCCCACACGGCUCUCCGGGCUGUCAUUGGCCUGAGUCAAAAUUGGGAUGCCGUCCCCUGUCAGACCCCCGGAUACCUGCAUUGACAUGGGGCCAGCUGGGAGUGAUAGUGGUGACUGUCAUCAUCGUGGUCGUCAUCGCAUGACACUGGCCGAUACUACUGAGUCCUUAUUACACCUGAAGGCCAGAAGUCCAAAAUCACGGUGUCAGCAGGCCGCGCUCCCUCCGAAUGUUCUAGCUUGGGAGGAAUCCUUCACUGCUUUCUCCGGUUUCUGGUGGCUCCAGGUAUUCCUGGGCUUGUUGCCUGAGAACCCCAACCUCUGCCCCCAUCUUUACGUGGCCUUUUCCUCCUCUUAUAAGGACACUUGUCAUUGGAUUUAGCCCCCCACCCCGAUAAUCCAGGGUGAUCUCGAGAUCAUUAAUAACGCCAAGGACCCUUUUCCCAAAUAAGGUAACAUUCACAGGUUCCUGGUGGGUAUUUGGGUGGGGGCCACCGUUCAACCUAAUACAGCCAAUAAGGCCUAUUUCCCCCCAUCAAGUGGGAGCUUCCUGAGGAUGGAAACUGUGCUCCUUCCUUCCUUCCUUCCUCCCUCCCUCCCUCUCUCCCUCCCUCCCUCCUUCCCUCUCCCCCUUCCCUCCUUCCCCAAAUAUUGAGGGAACAUCUGCCAUGUUCCAGGCUCAGUGCUGGGUCCUGGGGAGACUGAAGCAAUGCAAACAGGUCCAGUUCCUGCCCUCUCAGAGCUGACUUUGCAGUGGAGGGAGGUAGACCCAACAGAAGCAGUUACACCAUUGCUCAUGGCAGGCAGAACUACAAAAGAAGGGGGGAGGGGCAAGACCAGCAGGGUUGGGGGUGGGUCAGGGUGGACCAGCUCCAACCAGGGAGGUCAGGGAAGGCUUUGCAGAAGACGUGACACAUAGCUGGACCCUGGAUGCUGAGAAGGACCAGGUUGGAACCUCCCUCUCACUUCCUGGCUGUGUGAUCUUGGACAGUUGCUUUACCCCUCUCUGCCUCAGUUUCCUCGUGUAUAAAGUGGUGAUGGCAAAAACACAGUCUCCUGGAACCAUCCUGAGGACUGGGUGGGGUGAUGGGAGCCCGCCGCUCUGAGAGCUGUGAUGAGAGAAUAACCAGCGCAGGAAUGAGAACCGUUACUGUGCUGAAUUCAGAGUCGAGCAAAAGAGUUGAGGGAAGCAGAGGAACGGCCCCUCAGAGACAUCCACGCCCUGAUCCCUGGAACCUGUGAAUGGAUGCUACCUCGAGAGGGGGGAUUAAGGUUGCAGAUGGAAUUAGUCUUGCUAAUCGGCUGACCUUAUGAUCAGGAGACUAGCCUGGGGGAUCCAGGUGGGUCCCGUGGAACCACAAGAGCCCUUAAAAGUGGAAGAGGGAGGCAGCGAGAGAGGCUGGACCUGCCACUGCUGGCGCUGAAGACGGAGGAAGGGGCCAUGAGCCACGGCAUGUGAGUGGCCACCAGAAGCUAGAAAAGGCAGAAGAACCCUGGAGUUUGCAGAAGGAAUGCAGCCCUGCCAACACACUGAUUGUAGUGCGGAGGCUUCUGACCUCCCAGACUGUGAGAUGGUGACUCUCUGUUGUCUUAAGGCAUAAGUUUGUGGUAGUUUGUUAGUGCAGUUAUAGGAAACUCACAGGAGGACUGCGUCAUGGCAGCCUCCACCCGGCCUCCCUCUCAGGAGCAGAACAUGGCAGAAUGAGGACCAGCCUCAGACCUGCUGACGGGGUUAAAUCUAGUGGAACCCUGGCCCUUUGUAGAUGAGAAGAGACCGUCAAGAUCAUCUAGGUCCACAUUUCAGAGCGGGAUGUCCCCCACAUUAGUCCCGAGCAAUGUUCUGUUCAUAAUGGUCCCAUGGGUCAGUCGGUUAGGAAAUGCUGCAUACACUCUCUGGCUUUCAAGCAGUCACAGUACUCUUUUAUCUCUGAGAGGCUCUGAGAAGGCCUGCAGCAAAAAGCAAGAAAGGUUUUCUAACUUCCACUCAGCACUUCCAAAGGUACUGUAGCAUAAACCUUCUUCCUCCAAGUCUUCCCCCCAGAACUUGUACUAACAACUCAACCAAGCUUGUGUUUGGUGGAUGGGCUGAUCUACUCAAAUCAGUUCAUGAGACAAAUGGAGAAACUGAAGCCCAAACAGGUGGAGGUGCCCUGGAGAAGCAGUGCAGCUUCAACCAGCCACACGGCCCUGGGCAAGUCACAUCACCUCUCAGAGCCUCUGAUUCCUGAUGGAUAAAAUGCAGACAAGAGGGCCUGCUUUGCAGAACACCAUGGAUAGCUGUCUCCGUCCGUUGGGGCUGCUAUAACAAAGUACCAUAGGCUGGAGGACUUGUAAACAACAGAAAUUUAUUUCUCACAGUUCCAGAGGCUGGGAGUCUGAGCCCAGGAUGCCAGCAUGGGCAGGUCCUGGUGAGGGCCCUCUUCUGGAUUGCAGACUAUCCAUUUCUCCCUGCGUCCUCACGGGGUGGAAAGAGAGCUCUCUGGAGCCUCUUAUGUAAGGGCACUAAUUCCACCCAUGAGGGUUCCACCCUCAAGACCUAAUUACCCCUAAUUAGGUACCUCCUAAUACCAUCACAUUGGCAGCUAGGCUUUUAACUUGAGUUUUCAGUCCAUAAGCAAGGAAGUGGCCGUUGAAGUGGCCAGCACCCACCUGGUAGGUAGGUAGGCAAGAGUAGGUACU